CGUUCAACCACUGUGGAAAGCAAUGUGGUAAUUUCUCAAAGAACUUAAAACAUUGUUACCAUUUAACUGAGUAAUCCAUUGUUGGGAAUAUGCCCAAAGGAGUGUAAAUCAUUCUCCCAUAAAGACACAUGCAUGCGUGUGUUCAUUGCAUCUGGAUAAACAAAAUGUGGUACAGAUACACCAUGGAAUACUAUACAGUCAUAAAAAAUGAGAUCAUGUCCUUUGCAGCAAGGUGGAUGCAAAUGAAGGCCUUCUCUAAUUCCCCUCAGGAACUUUUUGGAGUUUUCAGUAUACAACUGCAUCAGCUUCAGUGAACUGAACUCUGCCUCCUCAACUCAGCAAGACCAGCUGUUUUGGUGUUGUCUCUCUCUGCCUCUCUGCCUGCAAACUGCCUCCAGCAUGUGAGCCUGUUGUUUUGUUCCCUGUCUCUUUUUGUUGCGUGAUGUUCAAUGUCUGACCAGAGAU
rnacentral:lncRNA from 13 species